GAUGAACGCUGGCGGCGUGCCUAAUACAUGCAAGUCGAGCGAACAGACGAGGAGCUUGCUCCUCUGACGUUAGCGGCGGACGGGUGAGUAACACGUGGAUAACCUACCUAUAAGACUGGGAUAACUUCGGGAAGCCGGAGCUAAUACCGGAUAAUAUAUUGAACCGCAUGGUUCAAUAGUGAAAGACAGUUUUGCUGUCACUUAUAGAUGGAUCCGCGCCGCAUUAGCUAGUUGGUAAGGUAACGGCUUACCAAGGCAACGAUGCGUAGCCGACCUGAGAGGGUGAUCGGCCACACUGGAACUGAGACACGGUCCAGACUCCUACGGGAGGCAGCAGUAGGGAAUCUUCCGCAAUGGGCGAAAGCCUGACGGAGCAACGCCGCGUGAGUGAUGAAGGUCUUCGGAUCGUAAAACUCUGUUAUUAGGGAAGAACAAAUGUGUAAGUAACUAUGCACGUCUUGACGGUACCUAAUCAGAAAGCCACGGCUAACUACGUG
rnacentral:rRNA from 1 species